AUUGAACGCUGGCGGCAGGCCUAACACAUGCAAGUCGAGCGGAGCGGCGGACGGGGGAGUAAUGCCUAGGAAUCUGCCCGGUAGUGGGGGAUAACGUCCGGAAACGGGCCCUAAUACCGCAUCCUAUCAGAGGAGGCUAGGGUGGAUUAGCUAGUUGGGGGGGUAAAGGCCUACCAAGGCGACGAGCCGUAACUGGUCUGAGAGGAUGAUCAGUCACACUGGAACUGAGACACGGCCCAGACUCCUACGGGAGGCAGCAGUGGGGAAUAUUGGACAAUGGGCGAAAGCCUGAUCCAGCCAUGCCGCGUGUGUGAAGAAGGUCUUCGGAUUGUAAAGCACUUUAAGUUGGGAGGCGGUACCAACAGAAUAAGCACCGGCUAACUACGUGCCAGCAGCCGCGGUAAUUC
rnacentral:rRNA from 1 species